GUAGGGAAUAUUGGGCAAUGGAUGCAAGUCUGACCCAGCCAUCCCGCGUGCCGGAAGAAGGCCCUCAGGGUUGUAAACGGCUUUUGACGGUGAAGAAUCGACAGGAUGCGUCCUGUUUUGACGGUAGCCGUUGAAUAAGCACCGGCUAACUCCGUGCCAGCAGCCGCGGUAAUACUGAGGGUGCGAGCGUUGUCCGGAUUUAUUGGGUUUAAAGGGUGCGUAGGCUGGAAGGUCAGUCAGCGGUGAAAAGCUGUCGCUUAACGAUAGUCUUGCCGCAGAUACUUCCUUUCUUGGAUGAGGAGGAGGCCACUGGAACGGAUGGUGUAGCGGUGAAAUGCAUAGAUAUCAUCCAGAACACCGAUUGCGAAGGCAGGUGGCUGUACCUUAAUCGACGCUGAUGCACGAAAGCAUGGGGAGCAAACAGGAUUAGAAACCCGGGUAGUCC
rnacentral:rRNA from 1 species